CCAGGGACCCUGCCAUGUAGGAACCUGCAAGGAGCACACACGGAUGAGAUGAAGACACACUAAAAGGCUCAAGGCUGAUGCAGAAAGCCUUGGUGUUACCCACGAACACUGCAGUUCUUUCCCCACGCACCUCUCGUUCUACCAAGCCUUGAGAAGUUCCUGGCUGCCUGGGCCUUCCCUGUCCCAUCUAUUCCUGCACCCCUCUACCUGGGCUGCCCGG